UCUUUUUAAAAAAUACAAAGUCCGAAUACGUUUGCUUUAUUAUUGUAAAUCUAAAGGGUCAAUGUUAUAUGACUUGGUGGUGUAGUGGUCAGCGAGGAGCUGUUGAGUGUGACGUCAUAAGUGAAUUAUUUCGCAUCCUUGUAUCGCGUAAUACAAUGGGGUUGUGUUUUUUUAUUUUGGAGGUUUCUUUUUGUUGUUGUUGUUUUGUUUUUUGGUGGUUUUUUUUUACCUUAACUAGAAGGCAAUGCUGUAUGGUGUCCGGAUAGGGCCAUUUGCAAAAGCGUGACUGCGCGUUAGUCACAACACGCCAUCACGCCAACCAGCAACGCACCUUCGUGCUCUCACGCCAACAAGCAACGCACCUUCGCGCUCUCACGCCAACAAGCAACGCGCCUUCGCGCUCUCACGCCUACAAACAACGCACCUUCGCGCUCUCACGACAACAAGCAACGCACCAUCGCGCUCUCACGCCAACAAGGCGCGUUGCUUGUCUGCGCGAAAGCACGUUGCUUGUUGGCGUGACGGAGUGUUGUGUCUAACGCGCAGUCACGCAUUUGCAAAUGGCCCUAUCCAGAAACCAUAAUGCUGAGAUUUUUGUUUUAAAUUACUGGAAAAUAAACUGUAUAGUCAUAAACUUAUUAUAGUAUUGAUAUUCAAUGGGGUUUUGAAUCAUUUUUAAUAUUUUUUUACACUGUUCGAGGCUGUGUUUAUAAAUAAAACAGUUAUCGGUCGACCUGCACGAUAUGGUUUUUAUGUACCAAGUAAUCAUACUCCUGAUAUCAUCUUUAUACGGUGAAUGAUAAAUUGACUCACACGUGCAUGUAACAUUAAAGUACGGUGUGUCCCAAAAGAUAUACCAACAUCUACAGGGAUAUCGGUUCUAAUGAUGUCUGCAGGAAAACCACAUAAUAAAUGCGUAUUUUGUAGUGAAAGGAAAGGCUUUUGCAGUUAUGUUGUACCAAAAGAGGCCAGAACAGAUUUAUUUAAUUGGAUUACAUUGUAAUACAUGCCCGGAGCAAAAACUGAAGGAAGCAUUUGGUUGGAAACAUCUUGAUACUGAAAUAUCCUCAGACCGUCCUUAGCCAAUGGUCGAAACAACGAAAUCAUUUGAAGCUGUGGGUUUUCGGUUUGAAUGGCAUAUUUGAACACAAGAAUAGUGGAUUUCUUUAAUAGCAAAUUUUAUGCGACGGCGAUGUAAGAAUGCAGCGAUAUCAGGCUUCAACCCUGCACAUAUUUUCCUGCGCUGUAAAUGGAAGGCUUUGAUAAGGGGGUGGAUAUGAAGCUCUUCAAUCUGUCCCAGUAUAUUCCUAUAAAGCUACAUUAAGUACUUUAAUUUGAUGAUGUUAUGGUUUUUCCUGUGGUAAAUCAGUAAUACGAAAAUAUGCACUCAAUUGAUCUGCCUAUGCAGGAUUUUAAAAAGUGCACUCAGUUGACCCGUCUAUCCGGGAUCCCUCUACUACUUUCCUGAAUGUGUAAUUCUGCUUUAAAGAACAUAGACAUACAAAAAAAAAAACCACCCUAGGUAGCCAUUAUCUUAAACUAAUCACCCGUGAGUCUUAACUCGAUUUAAUCCGUAUAAUUAAUGGGCUGUACUGGGGUAUCAAUACGGAACUUUCGGGAUGUGCCGGAACGACUGAUUAUAUUUGACGUUUACACACCACGGUCACGUGAUAAUAACCAAUUGCAGGGCAAAGUUGACAUUGAUACAAAUGGUGUUUCGCUAGCAGACGGUCCACUAUUGGUGCUUAGUACCUGGGCGUAAAUUAGAUGUAAGGGAAAAGGCGCAUUUAGACGCGUAUCAUUGGAUGCAAGGCGUGAAGUUUUUACCGAUAUCCUCAAGAUAUCUCAUAGAUUUAUUUCCCUCGCCAACUCACAUAAUUUAAUCAAAUGCAUUUUCCUAUAAAAUGGUUGUAGUGAUUCCUUUCUUUCAAAGAUAGCAUUUAAAAGCAGAAAUUUGAUAUCAGUUGAUGUAUCCCAUGCUUGUUUAAUUAGUUGUUAUUGUAAUCCGGAAGUCACAUGCCCUACAAAUUACGUUCAACGCGCGAUAAAAGUCAGAGUGGAUCCAAAUCUCGAAAGUCCCGUAUUGGACCAGAGGCCGAUUAUAAUAAUAAUAACAAUGUCCUUUAUUUAAACAGGAUAGCACAAUUAGUUUAAAACUAGUUUACAUUGUGGUCCUGAAAACAUAUAUACAGACAGCAGUAUUAUACAGAUACAAUAUAAAAUAGUAUAUGAAGGUAUGUUGUAUACAUACAUGUAUGCUAUUUACAUAUUUAAAACUGAAAAUAAAACAAAAUAAGUAAAUAAACAAAUAAAAAUAAAACUGAAAAUAAUCAAAAACAAAUCUAUAUGGUUUUAAUUUCCCGAAUGAAAAACUUUUUCUAAGAUAAGCUGAAUCGGUUUAUAUCUUAGAAAUUUUUAGAAAUUUAUAGCACCGAAAA